rnacentral:rRNA from 1 species
GAUGAACGCUAGCGGCAGGCCUAAUACAUGCAAGUCGGACGGGAUUUGGGAGCUUGCUUCCAAUGAGAGUGGCGCACGGGUGCGUAACACGUAUGUAACCUACCUUAAUCAGGGGGAUAGCCUCUCGAAAGAGAGAUUAACACCGCAUAAUAUAUUUUUAUGGCAUCGUAGAAAUAUCAAAUAUUUAUAGGAUUAAGAUGGGCAUGCGGAACAUUAGCUAGUUGGUAAGGUAACGGCUUACCAAGGCUACGAUGUUUAGGGGAUCUGAGAGGAUGACCCCCCACACUGGUACUGGGACACGGACCAGACUCCUACGGGAGGCAGCAGUAAGGAAUAUUGGUCAAUGGGCGCAAGCUUGAACCAGCCAUGCCGCGUGCAGGAAGACGGCCCUAUGGGUUGUAAACUGCUUUUGUACCGGAAUAAACCCUUUUACGUGUAGAAGGCUGAAUGUACGGUAAGAAUAAGGAUCGGCUAACUCCGUGCCAGCCGCCGCUGUAACAC